GGUUUAAUUCGAUGAUACGCGAGGAACCUUACCCGGGCUUGAACUGCAGGAGAACGAUUCAGAGAUGAUGAGGUCCUUCGGGACUCCUGUGGAGGUGCUGCAUGGUUGUCGUCAGCUCGUGCCCGUGAGGUGUCGGCUUAAGUGCCAUAACGAGCGCAACCCCUCUCCGUAGUUGCCAUCGGGUGAUGCCGGGCACUCUGCGGACACUGCCACCGUAAGGUGUGA
rnacentral:rRNA from 1 species